GAUGAAGAACGCCGCGAAAUGCGAUACGUAGUGUGAAUUGCAGAAUUCAGUGAAUCAUCGAAUCUUUGAACGCACAUUGCGCCCUUUGGUAUUCCAAAGGGCAUGCCUGUUCGAGCGUCAUUUGUACCCUCAAGCUUUGCUUGGUGUUGGGCGUCUUGUCUCCAGUCCGCUGGAGACUCGCCUUAAAGUCAUUGGCAGCCGGCCUACUGGUUUCGGAGCGCAGCACAAGUCGCACUCUUUUCCAGCCAAGGUCAGCGUCCAACAAGCCUUUUUUCAACUUUUGACCUCGGAUCAGGUAGGGAUACCCGCUGAACUUAAGCAUAUCAAUAAGCGGAGGA
rnacentral:misc_RNA from 1 species